rnacentral:rRNA from 1 species
GCUUGUCUCAAAGAUUAAGCCAUGCAUGUCUAAGUGUAAAUAAGUCUAUACUGUGAAACUGCGAAUGGCUCAUUAAAUCAGUUAUCGUUUAUUUGAUGAUCUCUUACUACUUGGAUAACCGUAGUAAUUCUAGAGCUAAUACAUGCGAAAAGACGCGACUCACGAAGCGUUGUAUUUAUUAGAUACAAAACCAAUGCGGGGCAACCCGGUAUAAGGUGAUUCAUAAUAACUUUGCGAAUCGCAUGGCCUUGCGCCGGCGAUGAAUCAUUCAAAUUUCUGCCCUAUCAACUU